GCUGGUUUUGACCAUUGUACAGUGUGCUACACUCCCAGAAAGCCUGAGUUUCUAGGACCUGUAAAAUGUGCUGUGAUCGAAGCCGGAAGUUUAUCACCAUCCCUUGAAACAGCACAAGCUGGCACUGGAAAACAAACAACUUCUCUGGUGGUGGUGGAAGGAGUUGAGAGAGAGAAGUGACCAUGCAGACCCCAACGUCAGUGAUGGAAGAGAGGAGGAGGUGUGCUGGAGCAGAGACUCCUCUGCAUCCUGUGGAGAGGACUGGUGAAGCUGAGAUUUGUUUGCAUUUCAUUGAAGACCCUGUGCCAGGGACUAUGCCCAGAGGAGGCCAUGUCCUGUGGGAGGGAUCCUGUAUCUGCAGAAGCCAUAGCUGCUGGGAAGAACCCACACCAGAGAGGUUCGUUAAGGACUGUGUCCCUAGUGAGGGACCCAAUAUUGGAGUGGGGAAGUAUGUGAAGAGUCAGCCUCCUCUGAGAAGUGGCAGAGAUAUCUGAGACUGACCACAUCCCCCGUUCUCUACCCCCCUGAGCCGUUGAGGGGGGAGGAGGUAGAGAUAUCGGGAGCAGUGAGCUGGGCCCAGGAAGAAAGGAGGGAUGGGGGAGGGAGAUCUUAAAGUGCUGGUUGUAAUUUUCUCAUCAUCUUGCUCUCUUUUUGCUUUUU